rnacentral:rRNA from 1 species
AACGCUAGCUACAGGCUUAACACAUGCAAGUCGAGGGGCAUCAGGAAGAAAGCUUGCUUUCUUUGCUGACGACCGGCGCACGGGUGAGUAACGCGUAUCCAACCUGCCCCCAACUAGGGAAUAACCUUGCGAAAGUAAGACUAAUACCCUAUAAUUUCCUCAGAUGUCAUCUGACGAGGAAUAAAGAUUUAUCGGUUGUGGAUGGGGAUGCGUCUGAUUAGCUUGUUGGCGGGGUAACGGCCCACCAAGGCAACGAUCAGUAGGGGUUCUGAGAGGAAGGUCCCCCACAUUGGAACUGAGACACGGUCCAAACUCCUACGGGAGGCAGCAGUGAGGAAUAUUGGUCAAUGGGCGGAAGCCUGAACCAGCCAAGUAGCGUGCAGGAUGACGGCCCUAUGGGUUGUAAACUGCUUUUAUACAGGAAUAAAGUUAGCCACGUGUGGUUAUUUGUAGGUACUGUAUGAAUAAGGACCGGCUAAUUCCGUGCCAGCAGCCGCGGUAAUACGGAAGGUCCAGGCGUUAUCCGGAUUUAUUGGGUUUAAAGGGAGCGUAGGCCGUCUGUUAAGCGUGUUGUGAAAUGUAGAUGCUCAACAUCUGAAUUGCAGCGCGAACUGGCAGACUUGAGUGUGCGCAACGUAGGCGGAAUUCGUGGUGUAGCGGUGAAAUGCUUAGAUAUCACGAAGAACUCCGAUUG